AAAAAAAGAUCCUGGCCCAGAUUGAACGCUGGCGGCAGGCCUAACACAUGCAAGUCGAGCGGAUGACGGGAGCUUGCUCCUUGAUUCAGCGGCGGACGGGUGAGUAAUGCCUAGGAAUCUGCCUGGUAGUGGGGGACAACGUUUCGAAAGGAACGCUAAUACCGCAUACGUCCUACGGGAGAAAGCAGGGGACCUUCGGGCCUUGCGCUAUCAGAUGAGCCUAGGUCGGAUUAGCUAGUAGGUGAGGUAAUGGCUCACCUAGGCGACGAUCCGUAACUGGUCUGAGAGGAUGAUCAGUCACACUGGAACUGAGACACGGUCCAGACUCCUACGGGAGGCAGCAGUGGGGAAUAUUGGACAAUGGGCGAAAGCCUGAUCCAGCCAUGCCGCGUGUGUGAAGAAGGUCUUCGGAUUGUAAAGCACUUUAAGUUGGGAGGAAGGGCAGUAAGCUAAUACCUUGCUGUUUUGACGUUACCGACAGAAUAAGCACCGGCUAACUCUGUGCCAGCAGCCGCGGUAAUACAGAGGGUGCAAGCGUUAAUCGGAAUUACUGGGCGUAAAGCGCGCGUAGGUGGUUCGUUAAGUUGGAUGUGAAAGCCCCGGGCUCACCCUGGGAACUGCAUCCAAACCUGGCGAGCUAGAGUAUGGUAGAGGGUGGUGGAAUUUUCCUGUGUACCGGUGACAUGCACAAAUAUAGGAAAGAAACACAAUGGCGAAGGCGACCAC
rnacentral:rRNA from 1 species